rnacentral:rRNA from 1 species
AGAGUUUGAUCCUGGCUCAGAUUGAACGCUGGCGGCAUGCCUUACACAUGCAAGUCGAACGGCAGCACGGGAGCAAUCCUGGUGGCGAGUGGCGAACGGGUGAGUAAUAUAUCGGAACGUGCCCAGUCGUGGGGGAUAACGUAGAGAAAUUUACGCUAAUACCGCAUACGAUCUAAGGAUGAAAGCGGGGGACCGUAAGGCCUCGCGCGAUUGGAGCGGCUGAUAUCAGAUUAGGUUGUUGGUGAGGUAAAAGCUCACCAAGCCGACGAUCUGUAGCUGGUUUGAGAGAACGACCAGCCACACUGGAACUGAGACACGGUCCAGACUCCUACGGGAGGCAGCAGUGGGGAAUUUUGGACAAUGGGGGCAACCCUGAUCCAGCCAUUCCGCGUGAGUGAAGAAGGCCUUCGGGUUGUAAAGCUCUUUCAGCAGGGAAGAAACGGUUUUAGCUAAUACCUAAGACUAAUGACGGUACCUGCAGAAGAAGCACCGGCUAACUACGUGCCAGCAGCCGCGGUAAUACGUAGGGUGCGAGCGUUAAUCGGAAUUACUGGGCGUAAAGGGUGCGCAGGCGGUUUUGUAAGUCAGAUGUGAAAGCCCCGGGCUUAACCUGGGAAUUGCGUUUGAAACUACAAGACUAGAGUGUGUCAGAGGGGGGUAGAAUUCCACGUGUAGCAGUGAAAUGCGUAGAGAUGUGGAGGAAUACCGAUGGCGAAGGCAGCCCCCUGGGAUAACACUGACGCUCAGGCACGAAAGCGUGGGGAGCAAACAGGAUUAGAUACCCUGGUAGUC